CCCUACGGCCACGCCACCCUGAAUGUGCCUGACCUCGUCAGAUCUUGGAAGCUAAGCAGGGUCGGGCCUGGUUAGGACUUGGAUGGGAGACCAGCUAGGAAGACCGGGUGCUGCAGGCG
rnacentral:rRNA from 1 species